GAUGUCGACUUGGAGGUUGUGCCCUUGAGGCGUGGCUUCCGGAGCUAACGCGUUAAGUCGACCGCCUGGGGAGUACGGCCGCAAGGUUAAAACUCAAAUGAAUUGACGGGGGCCCGCACAAGCGGUGGAGCAUGUGGUUUAAUUCGAUGCAACGCGAAGAACCUUACCUACUCUUGACAUCCAGAGAACUUUCCAGAGAUGGAUUGGUGCCUUCGGGAACUCUGAGACAGGUGCUGCAUGGCUGUCGUCAGCUCGUGUUGUGAAAUGUUGGGUUAAGUCCCGCAACGAGCGCAACCCUUAUCCUUUGUUGCCAGCGGUUCGGCCGGGAACUCAAAGGAGACUGCCAGUGAUAAACUGGAGGAAGGUGGGGAUGACGUCAAGUCAUCAUGGCCCUUACGAGUAGGGCUACACACGUGCUACAAUGGCGCAUACAAAGAGAAGCGACCUCGCGAGAGCAAGCGGACCUCAUAAAGUGCGUCGUAGUCCGGAUUGGAGUCUGCAACUCGACUCCAUGAAGUCGGAAUCGCUAGUAAUCGUAGAUCAGAAUGCUACGGUGAAUACGUUCCCGGGCCUUGUACACACCGCCCGUCACACCAUGGGAGUGGGUUGCAAAAGAAGUAGGUAGCUUAACCUUCGGGAGGGCGCUUAC
rnacentral:rRNA from 1 species